GUGCUCACUUCAGCAGCACACGUACUAAAAAUUGGAAUGGUACAGAGAAGAUUAGCACAGCCCUGCACAAGGAUGACACGCAAAUUCGUGAAGUGUUCCAUAUUUUU
rnacentral:snRNA from 1 species